UAAGAGGAAGAAAGUAAGUAUUCCCAAAGAAUAAAUGAUUAUAUUUCCUCAUCCCUGAACAUACACAGUUUCAGCCAACGUUUCUAUUGACAAGCUAUAAUGUGGUUGAUCAUAGGAGCAAUGUUCUAUAAGCCUUGCAUGCUUAGUUUGCUUUGAAUGGAGAUUACAUUCCCCUCCUAACCCCCCGCCUUUUCUACUUUUCUCAUUCUGAGUGCAGAAACUUCUGCAUUACUUACAUUUGACAGACUCCCCAAGAGAUUUGCAUCUCACAGAGUUGGAUCAACAAUAAAGAGAUGUAACUGAAAAACACUAAGCAUAUGAAAAGUGUGUCUGCAGGAAUCUGCACAGGCUUCUUUGUAGUGGACUAAAAUGCUAAGACGUACUCCACACAAUUGGUGCAAACAUGCAGUUACCAGUUUCUUGUCAUGACUUCAGUUCAGAAAGAAUUACCAACUCUGGACACAAAGAACCAGUAAUAUAAAACUCACAAAGCGGCUGUCACUGGUAGACAUGCACUUCCUGAGGCAUAGAAAACUUGAGACUCCUGCACAGCAAUGCAUUGCAGUGCUGCUGCAAGCUGUGCUGUCCAAGAAGCACUGCUCUCCUGCUGUGGCCAUUGACCAAUGAGAUGGCCGACUGCACAACACAAA